rnacentral:SRP_RNA from 1 species
GCCAGGCAUGGUGGCGGGUGCCUGUAGUCCCAGCUACUCGGGAGGCUGAGACAGGAGAAUCGCUUGAACCCAGGAGGUGGAGGUUGCAGUGAGCCGAGAUUGUGCCAUUGCACUCUAGCCUGGGUGACAGAGCAAGACUCUGUCUCAA